CCUACGGGUGGCUGCAGUCGAGGAUCUUCGGCAAUGGGCGAAAGCCUGACCGAGCGACGCCGCGUGUGGGAUGAAGGCCUUCGGGUUGUAAACCACUGUCAGUGGGGAGGCCUAUUCGCAGAGGAAGUACGGGCUAAGUUCGUGCCAGCAGCCGCGGUAAGACGAACCGUACGAGCGUUAUUCGGAAUUACUGGGCUUAAAGGGUGCGUAGGCUGUGCGGAAAGUUGGGCGUGAAAUACCUCAGCUUAACUGAGGAACUGCGUUCAAAACUACCGUGCUCGAGGGAGACAGAGGUAAGCGGAACUGAGGGUGGAGCGGUGAAAUGCGUUGAUAUCCUCAGGAACACCGGUGGCGAAAGCGGCUUACUGGCUCUUCUGACGCUGAUGCACGAAAGCUAGGGUAGCAAACGGGAUUAGAUACCCUUGUAGUC
rnacentral:rRNA from 1 species